rnacentral:rRNA from 1 species
GACGAACGCUGGCGGCGUGCUUAACACAUGCAAGUAGAACGGAAAGGCCCUGCUUUUGUGGGGUGCUCGAGUGGCGAACGGGUGAGUAACACGUGAGUAACCUGCCCUUGACUUUGGGAUAACUUCAGGAAACUGGGGCUAAUACCGGAUAGGAGCUCCUGCUGCAUGGCGGGGGUUGGAAAGUUUCGUCGGUUGGGGAUGGACUCGCGGCUUAUCAGCUUGUUGGUGGGGUAGUGGCUAACCAAGGCCUUGGCGGGUAGCCGGCCUGAGAGGGUGACCGGCCACAUUGGGACUGAGAUACGGCCCAGACUCCUACGGGAGGCAUCAGUGGGGAAUAUUGCACAAUGGGCGGAAGCCUGAUGCAGCAACGCCGCGUGCGGGAUGACGGCCUUCGGGUUGUAAACCGCUUUCGCCUGUGACGAAGCGUGAGUGACGGUAAUGGGUAAAGAAGCACCGGCUAACUACGUG